CCCCCGAAAUUUUUUCGUACUGGCAUGCACCGCCGACCAAAACAACCACCGGCGCCAGGAAUCAUUCUGUAUUUUGUCUACAAUGUCUUUUUCACGCUCGAAAAGACAUUUCGGCACGAACAUUGCGAACUCGGGCUGGAUUUCUUGGCAACACCCUUGCACCUGGAGUCACAUAACGCAGGGAGCCCCAUCUGAGCACAAACUUUCAAGGGCUUUUCGAUAGCGAUCGGGCGCGUUGCGGCAUCUCGCAGCGGCCGCGGAAUCUACGGAGCGCAUGGAUUUUAAUUCCGAGACUUUAUGGGUAUAAAGUCAUAAACCUUUGACGCGACUAGUGCACUGACAUUUCCAAAGGCGAGCUUUAGUUUUUCAAUUCUGUAACUUUAUGGGGCUAAUGCUCUUAUAAACGUGGGCCAUCAUGCGUGCACUGGAGGCCCCGUGUCCAAGCCGUUCCAGAUAUGAAAGCACGCGCUCGCAAUCUUCCACACACAAGAAAAUACUAAAUAUCACCGUGGCUGUGAGCUAGAAUCUGAUAAUUUUCUCCAAACACUUUCAGGAAGUGUGCCCAAUGUGAUCGAUCAGCUGGACCAGGGCAGGCAAAGUAAAAUAUGAGAAAACAGAAGAAAGUAAAUGGCCUAUUAUUGAGGAAAUUCUUUUUGCGGGCGACAAGGCCUCAUAAUCAGAACUGGUUUUGGCACGUAAAACCCCAGAAAGAAGAAGAAGGUCUGGCUCUCCGUGGCCACAGGGACAGUGGACAGUGGGUUUAAGCAUAGCCCCCGCUGAAAAUACAGGUAUUUUCAGAGCGCUUCUUCGCAUGCCAGCUGAUUGUGGAGAUACAUAUCUGAAGAACCAUUUGGAAAGUUGCCCCAGUAAUGCCUCGUAUUUAAGCCCAGAUGCACAAAACCAAAUUAUAGAAAUUUGUUGUGAAAUAAUCAAAGAAAGCCUAGUUGCAAAAGCAGGCUGCUUUCUCCAUAUUUCCUGAUGAAACGACGGACAUCGCUGGAAUUGAACAGUCUACUGUUUGUGCAAGAUACCUAAACAAGGAUGCCAACGACAUCGAGGGAGUGUUUUAGGUUUUAGCACCGGAAUAGAUGCCCUCUCUCAUUGCGACUGCAGGUUCUAUGUAAAUGUGUACAAACAGCUGCAGAUUCUAGUCACUCUUCCAGUGACCACUGCCAGCGCAGAGAGAAUAUUUUU